UAGAGUUUGAUUCUGGCUCAGGACGAACGCUGGCGGCGUGCUUAACACAUGCAAGUCGAACGGUAAGGCCCUUCGGGGUACACGAGUGGCGAACGGGUGAGUAACACGUGGGUAAUCUGCCCUGCACAUCGGGAUAAGCCUGGGAAACUGGGUCUAAUACCGAAUAGGACCACAGGACACAUGUCCUGUGGUGGAAAGCUUUUGCGGUGUGGGAUGGGCCCGCGGCCUAUCAGCUUGUUGGUGGGGUGAUGGCCUACCAAGGCGACGACGGGUAGCCGGCCUGAGAGGGUGACCGGCCACAUUGGGACUGAGAUACGGCCCAGACUCCUACGGGAGGCAGCAGUGGGAAUAUUGCACAAUGGGCGGAAGCCUGAUGCAGCAACGCCGCGUGCGGGAUGACGGCCUUCGGGUUGUAAACCGCUUUCGCCUGUGACGAAGCGUGAGUGACGGUAAUGGGUAAAGAAGCACCGGCUAACUACGUGCCAGCAGCCGCGGUAAU
rnacentral:rRNA from 1 species